CCUACGGGAGGCAGCAGUGAGGAAUAUUGGUCAAUGGUCGGGAGACUGAACCAGCCAAGCCGCGUGAGGGAUGAAGGUACAGAGUAUCGUAAACCUCUUUUGUCAGGGAACAAAGGCGGGGACGUGUCCCCGGAUGAGUGUACCUGAAGAAAAAGCAUCGGCUAACUCCGUGCCAGCAGCCGCGGUAAUACGGAGGAUGCGAGCGUUAUCCGGAUUUAUUGGGUUAAAGGGGUCCGCGGGGGGGCUGUAAAGCAAGGGGUCAAAGCCCGGGGCACAACCCGGGGCCGCCGUUGAAACUGGCAGGCUCGAGUUGGAGAGAAGUAUGAGGAAUGCGCGGUGUAGCGGUGAAAUGCAUAGAUAUCGCGCAGAACUCCGAUUGCGAAGGCAGCAGGCCGGCUCCACACUGACGCUGAGGCACGAAAGCGUGGGUAUCGAACAGGAUUAGAUACCCGGGUAGUC
rnacentral:rRNA from 1 species